CUGAAGUCGGACGCUUAACCGACUGCGCCACCCAGGCGCCCCUAGAGGAAAUAUUCUAAGACUUCACUAAUAGGUUGGGGUUUCUCAGCCUCAACCCUACUGACAUUUUGGGCUGGAUAACUUCUUGUGAUAGAGCCUGUACUGUGUGCUGUAGGAUGUUUACCAGCAUCCCUGGCCUCUAUUUACUAGAUCCCAUUAACAGUCAUGACAAUCAAAAAUGUCCCAGAGGGGUGCCUGGGUGGCUCAGUUAAGUGUCAGACUCUUGAUUUUGGCUCCAGUCAUGAUCUCACAGUUUGUGGGUU